rnacentral:rRNA from 1 species
GAGGAAUAUUGGUCAAUGGGGGCAACCCUGAACCAGCCAAGUCGCGUGAAGGAUGAAGGUCUUAUGGAUUGUAAACUUCUUUUAUACAGGAAUAAAUUGGGGGACGUGUCCCCUUUUGCAUGUACUGUAUGAAUAAGGAUCGGCUAACUUCGUGCCAGCAGCCGCGGUAAUACGGAGGAUCCGAGCGUUAUCCGGAUUUAUUGGGUUUAAAGGGUGCGCAGGCGGAUGUUAAGUCGGCGGUGAAAUUUUGCAGCUCAACUGUAAAAGUGCCUUCGGUACUGGCCUCCAUGAGUGUGGAUGAAGUAGGCGGAAUUUGUGGUGUAGCGGUGAAAUGCGUAGAUAUCAGGAGGAACACCGGCGGUGUAGACGGCUUGCUAGACCAUAACUGACGCUGAGGCACGAAAGCGUGGGUAGCAAACA